rnacentral:rRNA from 1 species
UACGGGGGGGGGGCAAGCGUUGUUCGGAAUUACUGGGCGUAAAGGGCUCGUAGGCGGCCAACUAAGUCCGACGUGAAAUCCCAAGCUUAACUUGGAACUGCGUCGGAUACUGGAUGGCUUGAAUUCGGGAGAGGGAUGCAGAAUUCCAGGUGUAGCGGUGAAAUGCGUAGAUAUCUGGAGGAAUACCGGUGGCGAAGGCGGCAUCCUGGACCGACAUUGACGCUGAGGAGCGAAAGCUAGGGGAGCAAACGGG